rnacentral:rRNA from 1 species
AUAAUCAAUUGUUUUUUAAAUAAAAACUUGAAUGAAUGGUUUUACGAAAUAAAUACUGUCUCACUUUUAAAGAUUUUUGAAUUUAAAAUUUUUGUAAAAAUACAAAAAUUUAAAUUAUAGACGAGAAGACCCUAAGAAUUUAAUUUAUAUUUAUUUAAAAUUUAUAUAAAGUAUUUAAAAUAUUUAAGUAAAUAUAAAUUUUAUUGGGGAAAUAUUUAAAAAUAAAAAAUUUUUAAUAUAAUGAAACAAUAAUAUUUGAUUAAAUGAAAAUUUAAUAUAAAUUAGAGUUAAAAUUACCUUAGGGAUAACAGCAUAAUUUUUUUUGAAAGUUCUUAUUAAUAAAAAAGAUUGU